rnacentral:rRNA from 1 species
ACUCCUACGGGAGGCAGCAGUAGGGAAUCUUCCACAAUGGGCGCAAGCCUGAUGGAGCAACACCGCGUGAGUGAAGAAGGGUUUCGGCUCGUAAAGCUCUGUUGUUAAAGAAGAACACGUAUGAGAGUAACUGUUCAUACGUUGACGGUAUUUAACCAGAAAGUCACGGCUAACUACGUGCCAGCAGCCGCGGUAAUACGUAGGUGGCAAGCGUUAUCCGGAUUUAUUGGGCGUAAAGAGAGUGCAGGCGGUUUUUCAAGUCUGAUGUGAAAGCCUUCGGCUUAACCGGAGAAGUGCAUCGGAAACUGGAUAACUUGAGUGCAGAAGAGGGUAGUGGAACUCCAUGUGUAGCGGUGGAAUGCGUAGAUAUAUGGAAGAACACCAGUGGCGAAGGCGGCUACCUGGUCUGCAACUGACGCUGAGACUCGAAAGCAUGGGUAGCGAACAGGAUUAGAUACCCCGUGGUAGGAUAGCG